AAUAUUGGACAAUGGGCGAAAGCCUGAUCCAGCCAUGCCGCGUGUGUGAUGAAGGCCUUCGGGUUGUAAAGUACUUUUGGCAGAGAAGAAAAGGUAUCUCCUAAUACGAGAUACUGCUGACGGUAUCUGCAGAAUAAGCACCGGCUAACGACUGUCCAGCAGCCGCGGUAAUACGUAGGGUGCAAGCGUUAAUCGGAAUUAAUGGGCGUAAAGCGUGUGUAGGCGGUUCGGAAAGAAAGAUGUGAAAUCCCAGGGCUCAACCUUGGAACUGCAUUUUUAACUGCCGAGCUAGAGUAUGUCAGAGGGGAGUAGAAUUCCACGUGUAGCAGUGAAAUGCGUAGAUAUGUGGAGGAAUACCGAUGGCGAAGGCAGCCCCCUGGGAUAAUACUGACGCUCAGACACGAAAGCGUGGGGAGCAAACA
rnacentral:rRNA from 1 species